rnacentral:rRNA from 1 species
CGGAACAGCUUUAGUUUGUUCCUCGAUCGGCAGCACGGAGCUUGCUCUGGUGGCGAGUGGCGAACGGGUGAGUAAUAUAUCGGAACGUACCCUAGAGUGGGGGAUAACGUAGCGAAAGUUACGCUAAUACCGCAUACGAUCUAAGGAUGAAAGUGGGGGAUCGCAAGACCUCAUGCUCGUGGAGCGGCCGAUAUCUGAUUAGCUAGUUGGUAGGGUAAAAGCCUACCAAGGCAUCGAUCAGUAGCUGGUCUGAGAGGACGACCAGCCACACUGGAACUGAGACACGGUCCAGACUCCUACGGGAGGCAGCAGUGGGGAAUUUUGGACAAUGGGCGAAAGCCUGAUCCAGCAAUGCCGCGUGAGUGAAGAAGGCCUUCGGGUUGUAAAGCUCUUUUGUCAGGGAAGAAACGGUGAGAGACUACAUAAUCCUCCUCGUCUGCCGGAAAUAAAGCGUCGUAUCUCUGAAUGUGAGAUAUAGUCAGCCGGCGUGAUACAUAUCUAUGUGCACACGAGCACGCGCGCGGAUAUAUACAUAAUGCGGGCGCCCACAGCGUAUAUAUAGGAAAAAAUAUUCUGGGGGCGAUAAAAAAGCGUGCGCAGGCCCCGGGCGUUUUGUUUAAAAUCUUAGAUAGAAAAAAAUCCCCGGGGUCUCACACCCGGGAGAAAUUGCACUUGGGAGGACUGCAAAGGCUAUGAAUCUUUUGGCAAAAAGGGGUAAAAAAAACCACCCCGGGGGACCCAGGUAAAAGGCGUAAGAUAUGUGGAGGGGGAAACACCGAUGGCGGAAAGGCACACCCCCCCCGGGGUCAAAAAAUUGACGCUUCAUGCCAAAAAAAAGCGUGGGGAGGGCAAACACGGAUUAUGAUACCCCUUGGUAGUUCCACCCCCCCUAAAAGGAUGUCUUUACUAGGUUGUUCGGGUCUUUUAAUUUGACUUGGGUAAACGCCAGCUUAACGCGUGGAAAGUAAGACCCGCCUGGGGGAAGUAACGGGUCGGCAAGGAUUAAAAACUUCAAAAGGGAAUUUGACGGGGGACCCCGCCACAAGGCGGGUGGAUGAUGUGGAUUAAUUUCGAUGCAACGCGAAAAACCUUUACCUACCCUUGACAUGGCUGGGAAUCCUUGAGAGAUCAGGGAGUGCUCGAAAGAGAACCAGUACACAGGUGCUGCAUGGCUGUCGUCAGCUCGUGUCGUGAGAAUGUUGGAUUAAGUCCCGCAACGAGCGCCAACCCUUGUCAUUAGUGGCUACGGAAAGGGCACCUCCAAUGAGACUGCCGGUGACAAACCGGAGGAAGGUGGGGAUGACGUCAAGUCCUCAUGGCCCUUAUGGGUAGGGCUUCACACGUCAUACAAUGGUACAUACAGAGCGCCGCCAACCCGCGAGGGGGAGCUAAUCGCAGAAAGUGUAUCGUAGUCCGGAUUGUAGUCUGCAACUCGACUGCAUGAAGUUGGAAUCGCUAGUAAUCGCGGAUCAGCAUGUCGCGGUGAAUACGUUCCCGGGUCUUGUACACACCGCCCGUCACACCAUGGGAGCGGGUUUUACCAGAAGUAGGUAGCUUAACCGCGUAGGAAGGCAAGGGUUACCCCUU